rnacentral:rRNA from 1 species
AGUGAACGCUGGCGGUAGGCCUAACACAUGCAAGUCGAACGGCAGCACAGUAAGAGCUUGCUCUUACGGGUGGCGAGUGGCGGACGGGUGAGGAAUACAUCGGAAUCUACUUUUUCGGGGGGGAUAACGUAGGGAAACUUACGCUAAUACCGCAUACGACCUACGGGUGAAAGCAGGGGAUCUUCGGACCUUGCGCGAGUGAAUGAGCCGAUGUCGGAUUAGCUAGUUGGCGGGGUAAAGGCACACCAAGGCGACGAUCCGUAGCUGGUCUGAGAGGAUGAUCAGCCACACUGGAACUGAGACACGGUCCAGACUCCUACGGGAGGAAGCAGUGGGGAAUAUUGGACAAUGGGCGAAAGCCUGAUCCAGCCAUACCGCGUGGGUGAAGAAGGACUUCGGGUUGUAAAGCCCUUUUGUUGGGAAAGAAAAGCAGCAGGUUAAUACCCCGCUGUUCUGACGGUACCCAAAGAAUAAGCACCGGCUAACUUCGUG